GAUGAAGAACGCAGCGAAAUGCGAUAAGUAAUGUGAAUUGCAGAAUUCAGUGAAUCAUCGAAUCUUUGAACGCACAUUGCGCCCCUUGGUAUUCCGGGGGGCAUGCCUGUUCGAGCGUCAUUUCAACCCUCAAGCUCUGCUUGGUAUUGGGCACCGUCCUUUGCGGGCGCGCCUCAAAGACCUCGGCGGUGGCGUCUUGCCUCAAGCGUAGUAGAAUACACCUCGCUUCGGAGCGUAAGGCGUCGCCCGCCGGACGAACCUUCUGAACUUUUCUCAAGGUUGACCUCGGAUCAGGUAGGGAUACCCGCUGAACUCAAGCAUAUCAAUAAGCGGAGGA
rnacentral:misc_RNA from 1 species